UUAGUUAAAGCCAAAAAGAGGCAUUUCAUUGUUAAUGAAAAAAUUGAAUCAAUAUUCUAACUAAA
rnacentral:tRNA from 1 species